ACACGUGAUUCCCAUCAAUAAACAAAGACAAACAAAAACAAGCAGCACACUUCUCUCCCUCCCACUUCUUCUCUCUCUUCCUUUUCUCUUCUUUUUCUCUUUUCCCCUUUUCUCUCCCCCUGUUUCAUGGCAGCAGCAGCCCACUCUCUCUUUUCUCUUCCUCUUCAUUUCUUUUCUUCUCCUCUCCUCUUUGUAGCAGCACGAUCUCCAUCUCCCUUCUCUUCCAUUUUUCCUCUUCUCUUCAGCUCACACACACACACACCCGUGUGGUCACGAGGGACCCAGUCCGGAUGAUGCAGCUCGUGAGAGAGGGAGCUACCGAGAGGGUGAGACACUGAGAUCGUGAGAGAUGUAGGGACUUGCGGACCGGAGGAGAAGAAAACUGAGUUUUUGGUCCAUGGGGGUUCGGUGUUUUGGAACAAAAUGGAUCAUGUUCGGAUUGGAGACUUUAAUUGGUUCUCCAAUGUAGAGUCCAAGUGACUAGAGUCCAAGGAGUGUUCGAGUUGGAGUCUAAUGCAGCCAAGAUGAUGUUUCUUUGGCUGCAGGUACUUCGGUAUAGUCGAUGGGUCGAUAGCAGUGUGCUUGGGAUAUUAUGACUGAAGCUCGCCGCGACAGUUGUAAUGGUCGGACCACGGGUUGUCCACUAUUUUAUAGGUUUGGUAUGGUUUGUGACGUUUGUGUCACUUAUUCUUUGUUAAGCCAUUAUUGUUAUAGUGUUAAUAAGACUCAAACAUAUAGAUAUUAAAUGGCUCUUUGUUGUAAUUAACUUGUGAUAGAUGUAUAAGUUGUAAUUUCCGCUAUUCAGAUUUAUGUUUUCCGCUGCAUA